UACGGAGGGAGCAAGCGUUACUCGGAAUUAUUGGGCGUAAAGGGCGCGUAGGCGAUUUGAAAAGUCUUGUGUGAAAGCCCCGAGCUUAACUCGGGGAGUGCACAAGAAACUGUUGAAUUUGAGUUCCGGAGAGGAAGGCAGAAUUCCCGGUGUAGCGGUGAAAUGCGUAGAUAUCGGGAGGAAUACCAGUGGCGAAGGCGGCCUUCUGGACGGAUACUGACGCUGAGGCGCGAAAGCCAGGGGAGCAAACGGG
rnacentral:rRNA from 1 species